rnacentral:rRNA from 1 species
UACGUAGGGGGCAAGCGUUGUCCGGAUUUAUUGGGCGUAAAGAGCGUGUAGGCGGUCAGGUAGGUCGGUUGUGAAAACUGGAGGCUCAACCUUCAGAGGUCGACCGAAACCCCCUGGCUAGAGUCCGGGAGAGGAGAGUGGGAUUCCUGGUGUAGCGGUGAAAUGCGCAGAUAUCAGGAAGAACACCCGUGGCGAAAGCGGCUCUCUGGAACGGUACUGACGCUGAGACGCGAAAGCGUGGGGAGCGAACAGG